rnacentral:rRNA from 1 species
GAUGAACGCUAGCGGGAGGCUUAACACAUGCAAGUCGAGGGGUAAAUGGCAGCAAUGCUAUGAGACCGGCGAACGGGUGCGUAACGCGUAUGCAACUUACCUUAUGCAGGGGGAUAGCCCGUGGAAACGCGGAUUAAUAUCCCAUAGAUCAGUGGUAUCGCAUGGUACAGCUGGUAAAGCUCAGGUGGCAUAAGAUGGGCAUGCGUCUGAUUAGCUAGGUUGGUAGGGUAACGGCCUACCAAGGCGACGAUCAGUAGGGGUUCUGAGAGGAUUAACCCCCACACUGGUACUGAGACACGGACCAGACUCCUACGGGAGGCAGCAGUGAGGAAUAUUGGUCAAUGGGCGGAAGCCUGAACCAGCCAUCCCGCGUGAAGGAAGAAGGCCUUAUGGGUUGUAAACUUCUUUUCUGUUUGAAGAAUAAGCUUGUCGAGACAAGUGAUGCCGGUAGGACAGGAAUAAGCAUCGGCUAACUCCGUGCCAGC